rnacentral:rRNA from 1 species
UAAGCAUAUAAGUAAGUGGUGGAAGAGAAACUAAACAUGAUUCUUUAAGUAAUGGCGAAUGAACAAAGAAGUGUUCAUUUUGAAAAUUGUGGUCUGUGAUCAUGAAUUGUAAUUUCAAAAUGCAUUGCUAACAAAACUGCACAUGGUGGUUUUUUGGAAAGAACAUUGCAAAGGGUGAAAAUCCCAUGUGUCAUUUGUAUGUUUUGUAUACAGUGUGCAUUUCAUGAAUCACAUUCAUUGACAAUUGAAUGUAAAUUGAAUGGUAAAUUUCAUUUAAACAUGAAUAUGUUGUUGACAACUUAUAGCAAACAAAUACCAUGAGGGAAAUAUGAAAAGGAUUUUGAAAAGAAAAUUAAAAGAGCUUGCAAUUGCUGAAUUGAUAAGCAAACAAAACACAUGUGUGUGCAAGAUUGUUGUAAUGUUUUGCAUUUUAUGCAAUCACAUUACCAUGGUUUUUGUGUGUUUUGUCAUCUCUCAAAUCUGAAAUGAUUUUUUUGAAAUGUGAUUGGAAUUUUGUUUGUUAACAAAGGAAUGCAUUUUCAAAGCUUAUUGUUUGAUUUGACAAACAUGUUUGUAACAUGUCAUGUGUGUCUGUGUGUGCUUCAUUGUUGAUUCAACUAAAUGAUGAUGUGUUUGAUACAUCAAAGACAAUACAUGUUUUGUUUGACCCGUCUUGAAAA